AUGGCGAUCAAGAGGACCAAGGCCGAGAAGAAGAUCGCGUACGACCAGAAGCUCUGCCAGCUGCUCGAGGAGUACACCAAGGUGCUCAUCGCCGUCGCCGACAAUGUCGGCUCCAAGCAGCUCCAGGAGAUCCGCAAGGGUCUCCGCGGUGACUCCAUCGUGCUCAUGGGCAAGAACACCCUCAUCCGCCGCUGCAUCAAGGUGCACUCGGAGAAGACCGGCAACAAGGACUUCCUUGAGCUCAGCAACCUCCUCGUCGGUAACGUUGGCCUCAUCUUCACCAAGGGUGACCUCAAGGAGGUUCGCGAGGAGGUCGCCAAGUACAAGGUUGGUGCUCCUGCUCGUGUUGGGCUAGUUGCACCUGUUGAUGUGGUGGUUCCCCCUGGCAACACUGGUCUGGAUCCCUCCCAGACGUCCUUCUUCCAGGUGCUCAACAUUCCCACCAAGAUUAACAAGGGCACUGUGGAAAUUACUAUCCCUGUGGAGCUGAUAAAGAAGGGUGACAAGGUGGGCUCCUCUGAGUCUGCCCUGCUUGCCAAGCUUGGUAUCCGCCCCUUCUCUUAUGGGCUGGUCAUCUGCAAUGUCUAUGACAGCGGGUCAGUCUUCAGCCCUGAGGUUCUUGACCUCACCGAGGAAGACCUGAUGGACAAGUUUGCUUCUGGUGUGUCCAUGGUUGCCUCACUGUCCCUGGCGAUCUCAUACCCCACCAUGGCUGCUGCGCCACACAUGUUCCUCAAUGCAUACAAGAAUGUUCUUGCGGUUGCUUUGGAGACAGACUACUCAUAUGAUCAUGCUGAUAAGAUCAAGGAGUACCUCAAGGACCCAAGCAAGUUUGCCGUUGCUGCCCCUGCUGCUGCUGCCUCCGGUGGUGCUGCCGCCGCUGCCCCGAAGGAGGAGGAGAAGAAGGACGAGCCCGAGGAGGAAUCAGAUGGCGAGAUGGGAUUCAGCCUGUUCGACGACUAA
rnacentral:rRNA from 1 species